CUUGCCAGGCCGGCGCUUUGCCGCUGAGCUAAAUCCCCAGCCCCGAGAGCAAGCCUUAAUCACAGUAAAUAAGCAUGGUACAAACCAAGAAGAGUGAACCAGAACACUCAGAACCAUCACCAUAUUUUAUUCACACCCUGCACAACUUACUGUACCAUCCUAACUUCCUGUCUGAGGAACAAGUACCUUCCAGAUACAGACAGGGAAACUGAGGCAUGGAGUGACUCAGAAGCUAUCUAAAAUUAGCAGGAUCUGCUAAGGGUGGGGGUUAUGAAAGUCCUAUGACCAGACUCCUGCCUUCGGGGUACAUUCCACAGCAAACAUCCUGCAGCAGUUUGCAAAGGGCUUUGAGAACUAGAAUCUUCUCACUGAUCGUUCCAGAACCUCAGGAAAUCAUGCCCUGUCCUAAAUCCUUUGGGUAGCAUUUUCAGCCCAUUUCUUUCUGGUUUAUCAGGAGAGACAAGACAACAGUAAAGCUCAGAAGUCUUUGAUAGAUAGAAAACAUCACUAGACUUUCGGCCAAGGCCUGAGAAAUCCAGUAGGAUCCCACUGUCUCCCUCACCUCUUACAAAAGGAGCUAUCAACAGAAGAGAAAAUCAUCAAAGAAAAUUAACAUCCAGCAAACUCUUGCUUCAUAGAAGGCAUCUCAUGUUUUCCCCACAGCCCUGGAGAGGAAUUACUACCCGACUUUUAGUUGAUGAGAGAACCACCCUUUCUAAAGAAGUCAGGAGGCUGGUUACACUUGUUCCUCCAUCAAGAAACCCCUCCCACAGGCAGCUGGCAGAGUCUCAGAACUGUCUAGAUUCAAAUACAGGUGAGGAGACUUCCUGGAACCUAAUGUGAAAAGCCGGCCAGGCCUUCCUCUUUGAGUUAACAUGCUCUCAACCUAGAACCACAACACUCUACCCAGUGUGGGCGUGCACACACACACACACACAAAUGCAUGCACACACACAACCCUUUCUAACAUACAACUGCCCUAGUACCAGAAAAGCAAGAGAAGAAAGGGAAAAUCCCCAGAAAGCUGAAGGAUAGAGUGGAAGAUGAAGGCAGAACAUUCUUCUGGCCUGACAGUCACUAGACCUUCCAACAGCAGGAGCUGCCCUGGGUUCCCGAUCCCUUGGAAGACGCCUCUCUCCCGAGGACUGGAAGGGAGUCUGAAGUCUCACUGUUCACUUAGGUCUUAGCUUCAGCUUCAGGAGUGGGAGGCAGAGAAAUAUAGCAAGAGCCUGGGAUACUGACAGCGACAUUGAAUCACUGACUGUGGAACCUACUCUAUUAAGCCCACCCAAGUUUUGCAGAUCUGGCAGCCCCUGCUCAGGUCCCACUAAUAACUCAGAGGUAUUUUCAGAGACUAACUUCUACCCUCAAAACUAAGAAGAGGAAAAGCACUCAGCCCACAUCCUGCAUUUAAGCAAAGUUCCCACAGGUUUCCUGAGAUGACCUUGUGCCAAGAAGAGGCUGAGAAGUUGGCUGGCACAGAACCAGCCCAGGAUACUGGCACUGUGCCAACUAGUUGCUGUACUGCCUAUCAGCUAAUACUUGAGGGUACUGCUUCCCCUGGUUUUCUGCUGUGGAGGCUCUCUGUGGAGUCAGACUGGGGAUCAUUCAAAGUACUGAGGGCUCUGACCCAGGAUUAUAUUUAGAUCCUUGACAGUGCCUCAGUCCUACCUAACCGUGAGAAAGCUAUCCAUUAUUAUUUUCUCCUUGUGGCAGAACUGGGUUCUGAUUUACUCCUCAGGCAGAUCCCAAAAACAUACUUCUGACCCAACCUUGAUUAGUAAAUCUAGGUAUCCCUUCAAGGUCUUCCCUGAGGUUUGGAAUGGAGAUAGAUUUUGCCUUCUUGUCCCUGUAAAACAAGGUAAUCCUUGAUUCAAGGGCUAGCAUUUAACUCUAGUUUUUUAUGAGAAAUGAACAUUCUCAUGACCCCAGCCAUUUGGUAAAUCUUAGUUCCCACAACACCCCUAAACUUUCAUCAGUCACACUGUCUACCACAGGAUUCCUAGUCCCCACACUGAGACUUCAGGAAGGUCUGGCUUCAGUGCGUGUUUCCAUUUCUUCUCUCUGGCAGUGUCCGGAAUCUUCCUGGGUCCCAGCUCAAAGUUCACUUUGUAGAGGAAGUAAGCCAGCUUCCUGUAAGGGCAGUUCCCAGUCGGCACAGUCGUCCCUUCGUCUGCACUGCUGUGUGUUUGUAUUUAAUUAUCUGCUCUUUCAUCCUACCUCUUCCAUAGGUAUCACUUCUGUCCUCUUUCCAAGAUGGGGAGGCUAUAAACGAAGACUGACAGAUUGUGUUACAUAAAAGUAUAUUUUUAAAAAUUGCACAAAGACAACAAAAAAUAAAAGGUUAAAAAUCUGGGAAAA